CAGUCCUCAGAUCAUCCUAACAUGGAUCUUAGGAAGGAAGGCGGUGGCUACACAGAGCCCGACCCCUUCUUCUUCUUCGUGAAAAAGCUUCUGAAGCCCAGAAAAAGGAAGCAGCUUUAUAUUAAAUCUACGAGAUUUUUCAUCAGGUAAAUGACCCUAAAGCGAGCUUCUUUCACGUCUUCCCUUUUCAUCGUCUCAUCGUUCCAGCUCCAUAUCUAUCACCCUCCCCCAUUCUCUGUUCAUCUCAAAGGUCAAUUUCCUCUACCUCUAUCUCUCUUUGGGCCAUUCAAUCGUGUUCCGGAAACGCUCUUGAUGCUGCAUAGCGUAUUAGCCGUGAAGCUGAACGCCGAGGCUGUCCUGCGUCUAUCGUCUCCAACGACAAAUUCGACUCGAGUUCCUUGCCUCAUGAGGACGCUAUUCUUUUUGUUGUAUCCACUACAGGGAAAGGAGACUCUCCAGAUUCUUUUAAGGUUCGUUGUCAAUUUUCACUACCAAUAAUGCAGUUUUUUGCGUACUUUAUUUUUUGUUCCUUGUCCUUUUUUUUUUUAAUCACUGAAGGAGUUUUGGAGGUUUCUUCUUCAAAGAAACUUGGGAAACUCUUGGUUGCAACGAGUUUGCUUUGCAGUGUUUGGGCUAGGUGAUUCAGGUUACCAGAAGUACAAUUUUGUAACAAAGAAGCUAGACAAAAGAUUACUAGAUCUUGGGGCCACAACCAUCAUCGAGAAAGGUCUAGGAGAUGAUCAACACCCAUCAUGGUAUGAAGCAAUAUGUUGUCUUUGUGGAGUAUUUUAUAUCAGAUCAAGCCCAUAUACUUUCCUAAUGGUCCAGAAGUGGUGAUUCUUGACAUAUUUGUUGAUUGGUGUUAUUUGAGAAGGAUCAUUGAUUACUCCCUGAAAAAAAACUCGAGCUUUCAGAUUACCGGAAUUAAUACAUCGUUUUACUUCAAUCGAUGGGAGCAGUGGCUGCGUGGCUUGCUACAGAGAACCCAGAUCAACUAAAACUUCUCUAAAUGAUCCACUUUCCAAUUCUGUAGCUCAAACGGUUAAGAAACCGAGCGUCUCUGAAAAAUUCUGGUCAACAAGCACAUUUGAUAUGGACAACAUCACCUUUCCUUCUCAAGGAGGAAGCAUAUCAUCCAGCUAGACUUUUGAAUCUCAAUCUGCUUCCAGAAACUCAAAUCCCCUGCCUGAGUUUGUAAACCAAGGCCUUCUUCUUUGGAAUCAGACAAGUGAGCUUUGUGUGGGAAAAGAAAGACCUAAUACAACCCACCGGAUCGCAAUCAAGGAUCCAAGAUAUAAAUUGGAACGCAGCAUCGUAUGAUAGCCUUAAGAACGCUGAAGUAAUGAGUCCACUGAUCAUCGUCUCCCAUUGUCCCCAUGAUGGAGGUCUACUUUUCUUUAUGGGACGAAGCUGCAUCAAUGUUUAGGGGUCUCCUUAAUUCAGGGGAUAGAACUUAAUCUGUCAAUGUGGUCACAAGUGUGAUCCCAAAAAAAUUGGAGGAGCUGCAUUAUGGAAUGGUGCAGUGAGAAGCAAGAAUGCCCAUUUUGUCGUACACCCAACACCCAUUCGAGUUUAUUUUGUUUGUACAACUCUGAUUUUUAAGCUCAAAUGAAGAUCAACAAGGACACAACAGUGCAAAAA